rnacentral:rRNA from 1 species
UACAGAGGGUGCGAGCGUUAAUCGGAAUUACUGGGCGUAAAGCGUGCGUAGGCGGUUAUUUAAGUCAGAUGUGAAAGCCCCGGGCUCAACCUGGGAAUUGCAUUUGAGACUGAAUAGCUAGGGUACGGUAGAGGGAAGCGGAAUUUCCGGUGUAGCGGUGAAAUGCGUAGAUAUCGGAAGGAACAUCAGUGGCGAAAGCGGCUUCCUGGACCAGUACCGACGUUCAGGCACGAAAGCGUGGGGAGCAAACAGG